CCUACGACGGCAGCAGUGGGGAAUAUUGGACAAUGGGCGAAAGCCUGAUCCAGCCAUGCCGCGUGUGUGAAGAAGGCCUUCGGGUUGUAAAGCACUUUCAGUGGGGAAGAAAGCCUUGGGGCUAAUACCCUCGAGGAAGGACAUCACCCACAGAAGAAGCACCGGCUAACUCCGUGCCAGCAGCCGCGGUAAUACGGAGGGUGCGAGCGUUAAUCGGAAUUACUGGGCGUAAAGCGCGCGUAGGCGGUCUGAUAAGCCGGUUGUGAAAGCCCCGGGCUCAACCUGGGAACGGCAUCCGGAACUGUCAGGCUAGAGUGCAGGAGAGGAAGGUAGAAUUCCCGGUGUAGCAGUGAAAUGCGUAGAGAUCGGGAGGAAUACCAGUGGCGAAGGCGGCCUUCUGGACUGACACUGACGCUGAGGUGCGAAAGCGUGGGUAGCAAACAGGAUUAGAUACCCUUGUAGUC
rnacentral:rRNA from 1 species